rnacentral:lncRNA from 1 species
GUAAAUGGUUGGAAGUACAAAAUCGUUUGGAAAAUCGGCGAAUCGACCUGCCGUAACAACGAAGAAAAUAACAGCAAGGGUCUCACUGAGUGUCCACUGAAAUCUGAAGACAAUGUGUCCACAUGUCAAAUUAUCGUCUGGGAACAUAGCAUGGGAAUCAAACCAUACUACAGUCUCCUUGAUCACAACUGCUGAAGUCAGAGAUUGUUUGCUGUUUGCAUCAGGAAACAUAAUAGAUCGGAUGAAUCAAUUAAAUGACGUAUAUACACAGA